CCUACGGGUGGCAGCAGUGGGGAAUAUUGCGCAAUGGGCGAAAGCCUGACGCAGCGACGCCGCGUGAGGGAUGAAGGUCUUCGGAUCGUAAACCUCUGUCAGCAGGGAAGAACGGUCACUGUGCUAAUCAGCAGUGAAUUGACGGUACCUGCAAAGGAAGCACCGGCUAACUCCGUGCCAGCAGCCGAGGGAAUACGGAGGGUGCGAGCGUUAAUCGGAAUUACUGGGCUUAAAGCGCUCGUAGGCGGUAUGUCAAGUCAAGGGUGAAAUCCCCGCGCUCAACGUGGGAACUGCCUUUGAAACUGGCAAACUGGAGUGUGUGAGAGGAUAGUGGAAUUCCAGGUGUAGGGGUGAAAUGCGUAGAUAUCUGGAGGAACAUCAGUGGCGAAGGCGACUAUCUGGCACAUAACUGACGCUGAGGAGCGAAAGCGUGGGUAGCAAACAGGAUUAGAUACCCUUGUAGUC
rnacentral:rRNA from 1 species